ACUCUAGAGAUAGAGCUUUCCCCUUCGGGGGACAAAGUGACAGGUGGUGCAUGGUUGUCGUCAGCUCGUGUCGUGAGAUGUUGGGUUAAGUCCCGCAACGAGCGCAACCCUUAAGCUUAGUUGCCAUCAUUAAGUUGGGCACUCUAGGUUGACUGCCGGUGACAAACCGGAGGAAGGUGGGGAUGACGUCAAAUCAUCAUGCCCCUUAUGAUUUGGGCUACACACGUGCUACAAUGGACAAUACAAAGGGCAGCUAAACCGCGAGGUCAUGCAAAUCCCAUAAAGUUGUUCUCAGUUCGGAUUGUAGUCUGCAACUCGACUACAUGAAGCUGGAAUCGCUAGUAAUCGUAGAUCAGCAUGCUACGGUGAAUACGUUCCCGGGUCUUGUACACACCGCCCGUCACACCACGAGAGUUUGUAACACCCGAAGCCGGUGGAGUAACCAUUUAUGGAGCUAGCCGUCGAAGGUGGGACAAAUGAUUGGGGUGAAGUCGUAACAAGGUAGCCGUAUCGGAAGG
rnacentral:rRNA from 1 species